GCUUAACCGGAGAAGUGCAUCGGAAACUGGGAGACUUGAGUGCAGAAGAGGACAGUGGAACUCCAUGUGUAGCGGUGGAAUGCGUAGAUAUAUGGAAGAACACCAGUGGCGAAGGCGGCUGUCUAGUCUGUAACUGACGCUGAGGCUCGAAAGCAUGGGUAGCAAACAGGAUUAGAUACCCUGGUAGUCCAUGCCGUAAACGAUGAGUGCUAGGUGUUGGAGGGUUUCCGCCCUUCAGUGCCGCAGCUAACGCAUUAAGCACUCCGCCUGGGGAGUACGACCGCAAGGUUGAAACUCAAAGGAAUUGACGGGGGCCCGCACAAGCGGUGGAGCAUGUGGUUUAAUUCGAAGCUACGCGAAGAACCUUACCAGGUCUUGACAUCUUCUGCCAAUCUUAGAGAUAAGACGUUCCCUUCGGGGACAGAAUGACAGGUGGUGCAUGGUUGUCGUCAGCUCGUGUCGUGAGAUGUUGGGUUAAGUCCCGCAACGAGCGCAACCCUUAUUAUCAGUUGCCAGUAUUAAGUUGGGCACUCUGGUGAGACUGCCGGUGACAAACCGGAGGAAGGUGGGGAUGACGUCAAAUCAUCAUGCCCCUUAUGACCUGGGCUACACACGUGCUACAAUGGACGGUACAACG
rnacentral:rRNA from 1 species